rnacentral:rRNA from 1 species
CGGCAUGCUUACACAUGCAAGUCGAACGGUAACAGCAGAGCUUGCUCUGGCUGACGAGUGGCGGACGGGUGAGUAAAGCGUGGGAAUCUGCCUUGUAGUGGGGGACAACCUGGGGAAACCCAGGCUAAUACCGCAUAAACUCUACGGAGCAAAGCGGGGGAUCUUCGGACCUCGCGCUACAAGAUGAGCCCACGUUAGAUUAGCUAGUUGGUAAGGUAAAGGCUUACCAAGGCGACGAUCUAUAGCUGGUCUGAGAGGACGAUCAGCCACACUGGGACUGAGACACGGCCCAGACUCCUACGGGAGGCAGCAGUGGGGAAUAUUGGACAAUGGGCGCAAGCCUGAUCCAGCCAUGCCGCGUGUGUGAAGAAGGCCUUAGGGUUGUAAAGCACUUUCAGGAGUGAGGAAGGGUAUGCAGUUAAUA